UGUUUGGGAAUUAUGUUCACAGUGUUUUAGAAACUGUGUGAAUGUAAGUGAACCAGGCCUCAGGACUGGGACCCAUGAUAGCUCAUGGGAGGGCAGAAGUCUGACCUUCCAACAUGGGGACCACCAGCUGGGAUGCAGCCUUUAUGUGUGAACAUCAGGACACUUCUCUUGGUUCUGCUUCCCUGGCCAGGUGCAGGGCAAUUCCAUGCGAUAAGACCAAGAACACCAGUCAUUGCCUUGGUUGGGGAAGAGGCUGUGUUGUCCUGACAGCUCAGCCCAUCAGUGGAUGCUCAGAACAUGGAAGUGAGAUGGUACUGGAAUGAUCCUCUAGGCCUGGUGCAUCGUUAUGGUACUUCCUGGAGUGAUAUGGAGAAGCAGAGGCCAGAGUACCAAAGGAGGACAGAGUUCCUGAAGGAGAAUAUUACCAAAGGGCAUGUUGCCCUAAAGAUCCAUCCCAUCCAACUUUCAGAUGGAGGGGAGUAUGCAUGUUUCUUUGAAAGCUCCACAUACUACAAUGAGGCAACAUUCCAAGUGCUGGCACAGUCUCAGGUAUGGUUCCUCAUAUUCACAUUGAGUCUGGCAAUAGAAGGGAUAUUAAGUUGACCUGCAUAUCUGUGGGGUGGUAUCCAGAGCCUGAGCUGCAAUGGAGGGACCAUCAAGGACUGCACUUGACACCAGUCUCUGAGACAAAGACAGUGGAAGAAAAUGAACUGUUUCGUGUGAAAUCAUCUCUCACAGUGGACAAAAGUUCAACAGCUAAUGUGUCCUGUGUUGUAAGGAACCUAAUACUCAAAGUGGAGAAGGAAAUGCCUGUUUCCAUGGCAGGUCAGUUCCCUCCAAAGUCUGUAUCUUGAGAUAUCACUGCUAAUUGAGAAGAUAUUACUGACAAAGACCUAUGACUGACAGACCUAGAAGAAUGUUCUAGUUUAUCCAUUUGUAACUCUUAAUGUGAAGAACUUGUAAAAAUUCAUAUUUGGUCUUGUUUUGUAUUUCUUUUUGUGACAGAAAUGUCACGGUUCUACUUUAUAAAAAUGAAUAUGUGAAUGCACAAAAGCAUUCAAAGAGUGAAAAAGUAUUUUGAGGAAUAUUUCCAAGUUCCUCCUAAACUUCUCCUGAUCCACUGCCUAGCGAGAGCCACUUUUCACAACUUGGUGUUUUCUCCCAUCUGUCAAAUUGAAUUUGAAUCCUGGUAGGGCCAUUUCCCAGCUUCAUGAUCUUGUGUAAGUACUGAGCUCCCUGUGCUCAGUUUCCAUCUGUUAAAUAUGGGUAAUAUUAGUGUCUACCUCAUGAAAUUGCUAUGAGUAUUAACUAAUAUAUUUAAUAUCACAGGCAAAGAAGAGCUCAGACACUCCAAUCUAUUCUUUAUGCCUACCCAAAGUGAUCUUUCAAAGGAGUUUGCCCAAAUUAUCUCCCCCAACUUCUGUUUAUACAAAUGUCUUUAUCUGGAGUAUUUCACUCAGUCAACAACACUCUAUCUCUUGUCCUUUCUUAUCUCUCCAGCUUCAUCUUUCAUCCCUCUCCUCCUUGUCUCCAACUCCUCCUACCUCACAUUAAUUCUCUGAAUAUUCAACCAUGCAAUACCCCUGGUAGGCUGUUAUUGACACACUUGUUCUAUUUUCCUGUCACUAAGAGUUUCCUACUGGUCCCUCAAUACUUCAUCUUAUCUUCCCAGGAAGCUGUCUUCAACCUAUUCUGUGUUAAGUGCACUCUUUACUCAUACAUUAUUGUGAUUAUUUGUUUAACUAUUUCCCGAGACAGAAUAAUAAACUCCCAAGGACACUAUAUCUUAUUUCUUUUAUGUCCCCAUUUCUUAGAAAAAUACUGAGUCACAAUAUGCUUUCCUACAGUAGAUAAAUAUUUGUAUGAUCUUUUAUCAACAAGUGAAGUGCCAUUUCUAUAAUCCUUUGGUUUGGGCAAUCACAUUGUUUUAAUAUAAUUAGAAAGAGAACUUGAGUUUGGGAAUGUGAAAGAAGCAAACACAUACAGCAGAACAAAGGAUUUUUGUUCAAUAACUUUAGUAAAACGAAGAAUAGAGGAAAUUAGCAGUUUCUUACUGACAUUUUUAUACUGAAGAAAUGAGUUGAAACAUAAUAGGGUGUCAUGAGUUGGGGCAAUAUUAUAAAGCUCUUGAAAAUCUGAAUGUAAGAGAUAAAAUAUUUUUUAAAAUUUUUUAUUAUAUUUAUGUAUUUGAGAUCACCAAUUAAAAAUUCCACAGACAUCUUGUUGAGAUCUUAAAUGAGGGUAGUCCUUGAAUGAAAGUGUCCUUGAUAUCUCUUUUAAAAGAACAAUAUUAAGUAGAAAAAUAUCAAAACAAUAGUGAAUUUUACUGAUUUCAGUUGCUAGCUGACAGAUGUCUCAUAAGAAACUUUUAAUUGAAAGAAAAGUUUGUCUCUAAAACCAUGAAUCCCAUUUGGCUUGUUAACCAAGAUGUCACAAUUUCUCCUUUACUCUUUAAGAAGCUCCACAUGCCUCUCACUCAUUGGCAUAUUGUCCUCACAUAUAUGUUUAAGUAGAAAAUAAUGGAAUAGAAAGGACACAUUACAAUGUCAGUUUGGGGAAACAAAGGUGAAAAAUUGGAAAAAAAUAAAUACUUUAAUGCAUUUGUUCAUUUUAACUUAUUAUGACAGAAUUAUUUUCCAUAUAUAGUAAUAGAGUAACAUUAAUGUUUGCUAAAUGUUGAUUGUGGGUACAUGGAAGUCUGAUGUAUUAUUUGUAUGUUUUAAGCAUAUUCAAACAUUGUGAUAAUUUAUAAAAUAAACUUUCUGAGUCUCCAUACAUUAGGAACUAAAAAGGAAACAGAAGCCUCUUUAGCAUUCCUGAAUUCUGUAGAAUUUCAGGGAGGCACAGGUGAGGCUUAGAAUCUGUGCCAUUCUUAGCAAUGUCUCCUAAAAGAAAACUCUUGGGAUCUGUUCCCAGCAGCCAACCCACUGAUGCCAAGCUGGAUACUAAGUGAGACAAUCUCUAUUGUUCAGAUGCCUUGUUCCUUGAGACUAUACUUGGAUAGUGUGGUUGGCUGUUAUCCUGAUUUUCCUGGCCAUCAGUGCAACCAUCUAUCUUCUAAUUGUGUGUGCUAGAAAAGCCAAAGGUAAAUGAAAACAAACAAACAAUCAAACCAAAAACAGCAACAAUAAAAACUGGGGGAUUCGGUUCAUUCAUGGAAGAAAUAAAGAAUAAUAGUAACACAAAAUUCAUAAAUGGUUUGUAAAGGGUCUUAAGCAUUUAAAAUUGGAAACAAGAAAAACUAUACAGAAAAAAAAUUUCUAAGUACACACUUAUGGCUCUGCAUGUUUGUCAGAAAAUAGAGGUUGUCUGGUCAAGGUCAAUUAUUUCAUCAAGAAAAACAAAAACAUACACUUGGUUUGUGAUCUGGCACUUAAAUAUGUGACAUAAGUUGUUAACUGAAGUCUUAGUUUAGCAUUAAAAUGGCAUUUUCUGGUAUCAGAAUGCAGGUGUUCUUUCAUAUUUGUGUGGGGGGGUUACAGGCUAGAGCAGCAUUCAGAACAUUUCUUCAUGAGC